rnacentral:rRNA from 1 species
AUUGAACGCUGGCGGAAUGCUUUACACAUGCAAGUCGAACGGUAGAGGGGGCAACCCCUCGAGAGUGGCGAACGGGUGAGUAAUAUAUCGGAACGUGCCCAGUCGUGGGGGAUAACGUAGCGAAAGUUACGCUAAUACCGCAUACGAUCUACGGAUGAAAGCGGGGGAUCGCAAGACCUCGCGCGAUUGGAGCGGCCGAUAUCAGAUUAGGUAGUUGGUGAGGUAACGGCUCACCAAGGCUACGAUAGCUAGGGGGCGUGAGAGCGUGGCCCCCCACACGGGUACUGAGACACGGACCCGACUCCUACGGGAGGCAGCAGUAAGGAAUAUUGGACAAUGGUCGAAAGACUGAUCCAGCCAUCCCGCGUGCAGGAUGACUGCCCUAUGGGUUGUAAACUGCUUUUAUAUGGGAAGAAUAGCAUAGAUUCAUCUGUGUAUGACGGUACCAUAUGAAUAAGCACCGGCUAACUCCGUG